rnacentral:miRNA from 1 species
UUUGUAUUACGUGCGGAAAUUGUUACCAUUUUUGAGCCGAAAAUGGUAACAAGUUUCGCACGUAAUACAAA